CGAAACUAACCGAACGUCACGCGAGCGCGCCCGAUCCCGUCGCCAUCUAGCGGCGCACCGCGCACCCCGCUCGCACCUGCCCGCUGCUGCCCGCCAGCCGACAUUCUCUGUCGCGCUUGCACCAGGGGCACGUAAAAAUAACCUCAAAAACCUAAUCACUGACCAAAAUAUUGCUAUUUCGCACAGUACUAACAGUGACAACAACUAUUGUGGAAAAUAACAGUGUUAUACUAGUGAUGUACUAAAGACCAGCUGCUGUGAAUGUUUCAAAAGUGUACGUUUUAGUGAUUUUUGGCCAAUCGAAAGUUUCCUGAGGACGUUACUCGUAUCGGUGGGCUGUCAUUGACAGCCCCCCCAAAAUAUUGUGCCAAUAUGUGGUGGUUAAUUUUAUUUUGUGUUAUAAAUAUUCAGACUUUUGGAGUUAAAGCCGAUAUUGGAUUGAUUUCAUCAAACAGUUGUUCGCUGGUGCAGUUCCAGUGCGCCAACAAGGAAUGCAUACCUCAGACUUGGCUUUGCGACGGCCAUGCGGACUGCCAGGACGGAUCUGAUGAAGCUUUGGACCAAUGCAAAGAAAGCCGAACAUGCACAGCAUCAGAGUUCCGUUGCAAGACCGGCCGGUGCAUACCCAGCUCAUGGCGGUGCGACAACGAGAAAGAUUGCUCAGACAACUCGGACGAAGACUCGGCUAGUUGCAAUGUGGCGGUCUGCGGCACGGAGCAGUUCACUUGCCGGGGUAAGCCUGGCGAGUGCGUCCCGCUCACGUGGAUGUGCGACGACAACCCCGACUGUUCUGAUGGAUCCGACGAAAAAGCAUGCAAUGAAACAUGUCGUUCUGACGAAUUCACGUGCGGCAACGGGAAGUGUAUCCAACAGCGGUGGGUUUGUGACGGUGACGACGAUUGCGGCGACAGCAGUGACGAAGUGAAAUGCCCCGCGCCGACCUGCCAGCCCCACACACACUUCUCUUGCAAGGAUGGACACUGCAUAUCGGCCAGGUGGCACUGCGAUGGAGAUAUCGAUUGUCCGGACGGCAGUGAUGAGACGGGUUGUGCAAAGCCUCCCAAAGUGACGUCACCAUGCAUAUCCACGGAGUUCGAGUGCCGCGACCGUAUAACGUGCGUGCACAAGGCGUGGGUUUGUGACGGCGACCACGAUUGCCCCGACGGCGGAGAUGAAGCCCCAGAAGUGUGCCGAGGCAACGUCACGUGCAGACUCGACCAGUUCCAGUGCAAGGACCUUAGCUGCAUCCCUGGCGCGCUAUACUGCAACGGCCAGAAAGAUUGUCCGGAUGACAGCGACGAGUUGAAUUGCACUAAGCCGAAAACCGUAUGCGACAAGAAAACCGAGUUCGACUGCGGCGGCGGCAUGUGCAUACCUCUCGCCAAGGUUUGCGACAGCAAACCAGACUGUCCCAACUUUGAGGACGAGCCAAAAGAUCGAUGCGGGGAGAACGAGUGCGCUAAGAAUAAUGGAGGCUGUACGCAGAAGUGCGUCGACACGCCCGUUGGCUACUACUGCGACUGUGAGAAAGGGUACAAGCUCGUUGACAACAGGACUUGUGAAGACAUCGACGAGUGCGCAGACCCCGGCUCAUGCUCCCAAAUGUGCAUCAACGAGAAAGGCACCUUUAAAUGCGAAUGCCACUCCGGUUACGCCCGGGAUCCUCGAGACCGAACCCGUUGCAAGGCCACGGAGGGCCACCCGUCCCUACUGUUCGCCCGACGCUUCGACAUUCGCAAGAUCAGCUUAGACCACCAUGAGAUGGUCGCUAUCGUCAACGAUACCAAGUCAGCUACGGCGCUGGAUUAUGUGUUCAGGACUGGGAUGAUCUUCUGGAGUGAUGUCAACGAUGAAAAGAUUUAUAAAGCGCCCAUAGACGAGGGCAGCCAACGCACGGUCGUCAUCGGCGAUCAGCUGAUCACCUCCGACGGUUUGGCCGUUGACUGGAUCUACAACCAUCUGUACUGGACGGACACUGGCAAGAACCACAUCGAGUUGUCAGACCUGCAGGGCAACAUGAGGAAGAUUCUCAUUAGGGACAGGCUUGAAGAGCCUAGGGCUAUCGCGCUUAAUCCUUUAGAUGGGUGGAUGUACUGGACCGACUGGGGCCAGGUGCCUAAGAUUGAGCGCGCCGGCAUGGACGGCUCGCACCGACAGACCAUCGUGUCCUACGACGUCAAGUGGCCUAACGGACUCACCUUGGAUCUUGUCCGGAAGCGCGUGUAUUGGGUUGACGCAAAAAUGAGCACAAUUUCAUCUUGCAACUACGACGGCAGCGCGCGGCGGGUAGUCCUCUACUCGACAGAUGUUCUGCGUCAUCCAUUCUCCAUCACCACGUUCGAAGACUGGGUGUACUGGACCGACUGGGACAAGGCGGCUGUGUACCGCGCCAACAAGUUCAACGGAAAAGAUAUUGAGGCUAUUACUUCUACGCACACUCUCCAAAACCCGAUGGUGAUCCACGUGUACCACCCGUACCGGCAGCCGGACGGCGUGAACCACUGCGCAGCCGUCAACGGGCACUGCUCGCACCUGUGCCUGCCCGCGCCCAGGAUAGGCCCGCACUCGCCCCGCGUGUCCUGCGCCUGUCCCAACGGGUUGCGGCUGCUGCCCGAUGACCAGAUGUGCGUCGAAGACAAUGUGCCAGAGACACCAAAAUCUGACCCAGGAAUCUCAAACAACGGCCGGGACGCCGGCGUCAUCGCCGGUAUUGUUGUUGCUGUAAUCUCAGGAGUCAUCAUAUUAGCAGCAUUGAUCGCUGUGGUGAUGUACCGGCACUACGUGCACCGCAACGUCACGUCCAUGAACUUUGACAACCCCGUGUACCGCAAGACCACCGAGGACCAGUUCGCACUCGAGAAGAAUGGGUACGCGCCCGGCAGCAAGCUGUACCCCAGCACUGUGGGCGAGGAGGUGAGAGCGCUAACCGCUAUGGAGUGUACGCUUAACAUACAGAACAGCCUAAGAUAAGUCGCGCGAACCACACACUGCCCUCCUUAGGAGCCAAUUAAUAUAAGUGGGUGUUUUAGGUCACUGACCCUAACUUAGAACUAAAAUUUCAAGAUUUUAAAUAUUAAAGAAUUUUAUUUUUGAAAACAUUAAUUCGAUUUCUUAAAUAUACUUAACAAUGAUAUGAUAUGACCCCAACUCGACUUGGCCAAAGAAAUAGUGUUGUAAAUAACAAGGUAAUGCAUAGUGUUAAUAAUAGUUAGCUGUAAGGUCUGCCUAAGACGUUUUAAACUCGAUGUAGUUACGUUUACUAGGACAUGUUUUAAGGAAUUUGUAAAACAAAAUAUUUUUUGUUUAGGGUUAAGUGUAAGGGCAAUCGAUCGUGCCAACAUUUUUACCGCAUCAGUAUUAAAUCAUAGCUGCCAAACUAUUGGUAUUAAAUUAUAGGUAGAUAUUAAUGCUGUAAAUAGUCCCUUUGAGAUUGCCAGUAUAUUUUUAUUCUGCCUGCUUUAAUUAUUACUGAUAAUAUUUUACUGCCGUAAAUUUUGUUUUACAUGCAUUAACAUUCGAGGGCUAUUAAUUAUUGGCUCAAGAACCUCUCAACACGCCCGGUACAAAUGAAUUUGUAUAGUGCUCGUGCCGGCAGUAAAUACGUUAUAAUGUCGUUGUAUGCGAAAAGAAAAAGACGGACAUGUGAUACUUAAAAAUAGUGAACCAGUGAAUGGGUUUAAGCUGACAGUUUCGCAGAAAACUCUAAAAUAGUUAGCGUUAGUGCAGUGAAAGUGUGGCGCCGAUCGGAACCAAGUUCAGUUAGCUGUCAUGCCUCGCACCUUAAUGGAUCUCAAAAUUAUGAGUUUGUCACUUCAUACGAUAUCGGGUCUGAGGGCCGAGAAACUUAGCCGCGCUAUAAACCUGUGGUCCAGUAUCACAAUGUGCAGUAAAAGGGACACGUCUGCUACUACUUUUUAUUAGACUGUGAAUAGCGUAGAGAUUAGAUAAAAUUGCUUUAUCAGCAGAUGCCUGGUGCAUAGUAAUUAUUUAUAUUAACUAUACAAUUUUUAUAUUCAACUUUUAGUUAAGUGUUUUAAUUACAAUGCUUUUGUAUAACGAACUCAAGAGAUUGGUUGAUGUCUUAAAAUGAAGCUCAUUUUUAUAUAGCGAGAUGUACUUAUUUAGUGAAUUUACAAUAAUGUUACAAUCGAAUCUGUAUGCGUGCAGUACAAAAAGUACCAAUAAACGUUGUAAAUGCGUAGCGUAUUCUGAAAAGCAAGAUUUUCAUAACUUAAACAUUCACGCACAAAAACAUUGCGUCAAGUCAUACGUUUUUUAAUGAAUUGAAAUAAAUUAAAGACUUACUUAUAUUAUAACUUAUGUGCCAAAACCUAAUAUUUGUUAAAACUUAUCAGUGAACUGAACAGUUGAACACGUAUUGCAAGCACUAUUGUAACAUUUACUUUUCAAAAACGUAUUGGUUGAAGGGUUGGAUGGUGAUAUAGGUGGUCGGACAUAUUUAUGUAUAAUGAUGUAACUUCACUUCAUAAUGUCUCGGUAUAAGUAUUUAUUUAUAUAAAUUUGACUGUAAAGCGGAAUCUGUUUCAAUCGCAUGUUUAAUGUGCCAACUAGUGAAUUUUACUACUGACAAUAUGAAUUGUGUUUAUAUUUGUCUAAUAAAUUAUUCCUAUAGCAAAAUUGAUUCCUAUUAGAAGCAUGUUAGUUGCCUGGUAUUUAUUUUAAAUAUAAAUUGUUAUGAAUUAGUACAGUUUAAUAUUUUAAAAUUUUAUGUAAAGGUUGUGUUUACCAUCCUAACUAAUAUGAUUAUAUACAAUUAUGUAAAUUACCAUCAUGUUAUCUUACCUAAAAUUAUGUAUUUUUUAUUAGUAAUGUUUGCCUAAAAUUUGGAACGUGACUUUGUCAAGCAAAAUCCUGCCAAAUCCUAUAAAAAUGUAAUUAUAUUGCUAAUAGUAAUGUAAUUAAAUUACAUGAUACUUGCACAUUUCAUACAAUACGCCUAGCUCAAUAAGUGUGGUCACUCAAAUUAUUGUGUAAAUAUUGUCAGUAAAAUAUAUGUAAAAUGUGUUA
rnacentral:misc_RNA from 1 species